rnacentral:rRNA from 1 species
UUGGAGGGCAAGUCUGGUGCCAGCAGUCGCGGUAACUCCAGCUCCAAUAGCGUAUAUUAAAGUUGUUGCAGUUAAAAAGCUCGUAGUUGAAUUUCGGGAUCGACGGGUCGGUCGCGCCUCUGGUGUGUACUGGCCCUGUCGGUUUCUCCCUUCUGACGAACUGCGAUGUCAUUAAUUUGGUGUCGUAGGGAAUCAGGACUGUUACUUUGAAAAAAUUAGAGUGUUUAUAGCAGGCAUUCGCUUGAAUACAUUAGCAUGGAAUAAUGAAAUAGGACGUUUGAUCCUAUUUUGUUGGUUUCUAAGAUCGACGUAAUGAUUAAUAGGGAUAGUUGGGGGCAUUAGUAUUCAAUUGUCAGAGGUGAAAUUCUUGGAUUUAUUGAAGACUAACUACUGCGAAAGCAUUUGCCAAGGAUGUUUUCAUUAAUCAAGAACGAAAGUUAGGGGAUCGAAGACGAUCAGGUACCGUCGUAGUCUUAACCCAUAAACAUAUGCCGGAACUUAGGGG